UAAAUUGCAUAACACCAUAAAUUAAUAGCAAAAUAAAAUUUAACGUAAUUUUAAAUAAGUGAUUGGUUCCUGGCGGUGUUGGAAUUAAUAGUAGCUCUGCAUACAUACAUAUUCUUUUUUUUUUUUUUAAAAAAAACCAAGUUGGUUGGUGAUGAAAGGAAGUUUCGGAGAAACUGAGGAGGACCCAUGCAACGCGUUUCUUGAAGUUGUUUCAUUUACGACAUAUUCGAUUUGUGAGAACUCAAAUUUAUGUCUGUUGGAAUUGGAGGCAACUUGGAAUUUUAUUUUUGACUUUUCAAUGAGGAUUUGAUUGAUUUUGAAUUUGGAAUCUUGGUGGAUUAAAGGUAAGAUCAAGUGGGUUUGUUGCAAAUUUGUUGAAAAAGUCUGGAUUUGAGUUCUUUUUGGAUCUAAGUGUUGGGUGAGCCUUGUUUUGAGGCAGGUAGAUUCUAUUUUGAUAUCAUAAGCUAUGUGAAUGUUACUGAAUUGGGUCUCAAAGGAUAAGAUAACAUAAUGCUUUGAGGUUGUACUCUUGCAUUUUAUUGUGAAGUGCAGGGUUUUGAGUCUUCUGACUUUUUGAAUGAUCUGAAUCUUCAGUUUGAAUUGGAAUUUUCUGGAUUGGGUUGAGUUGAUUGACUUUAUUGUUGUCAUUGGAUUUUGAUUAUUUGAAGAUAUCUGAAUAAGAUAAUGGACCUAGCUCGUGAAGAACCAAUUAAUGACUUAGAGGCAGAUGAAAUGGAGAGGCAACCCUUGGGAGACACUCCUCUGAGGGAGCGCCAUGUCUACCGGACCCAGUAUCAGGGUAUGGUGAGACAGAAAGCUUAUAUAUUUGAUGGAUGUGGGAACUUCUAUCAUAAGGAAUGGGAUCUUGCAGAAGGUAGAGGCAAUGAGUUUUGUUGGUACCAUGUGGAACUCCCAAAAGGAAAUGAGAAACUUGCACAAUCUGCACAAUACCUCAUUAGUGUUCUUUGUCCACCUUUGAAACUACAAGACAUUCUUUCACUUGUCAGCAAUGGACCCUUUUGUGGACAUGUGGAUGGGGCUCUUGUUUUUAGAGUUAAUUCACCUGGUCCUCCCUCUAGUGAGUUUACAUUUAGAAUUGCUGCAAGAGUUACUGAGAAUUCAGUGAUUACAGUCUCUUUGGGCCGUGUUCCUAGAUUGGGCUUCUCGCAGAUUGGUCAGUCUCUUCUCUCAGAGAUUCCCAGGGUGGAGAGUCCUUCUUCUCCUGGCAGUGAACAGAAGGAAGGAGCUGGGAUUGUUAUCAGAGAGCAUGUUCUUGAGUUCUUGUUGACAAUGAAUCACUCUGAGGAAGCUGAUAAUCCUGUGCCAAAAUCAGUCUCUAAUCUUGUUGUUCACAUUGUUGACACACAUGUGGAUCACCUUCAAGAUGUUCUGACUAAACUCGAGAUGGAUCUGGACUCUGUGGAGCUUCAAUUGGAUAAAGGUGGGUUCGCUUUAAAGAAGCAAAUGCUAGAUGAUAGAAGAUUCCCCAAAAUGCAUCUUGAUUUGCAGCGCCUUUUGCAGGUGAUAGCGCAUGGGGAGCAAGUAUUUCCAAGAGUGAAAGAAAAAUGUUCUUCAAAACAUUGGUUUGCUAGUGAAGACAUUAACUCCCUUGAAGAGUUGAUAGGGCGGUUAAGGAGGCUGAAAGAUAAUGUAGGUUUUAUUGCAAAUCGUGUCACAGCAAUCCAAGCUGGCCUUGAUAGCUGGCAGGCCGAGCAAAUAAACAGGAAGCUAUAUUAUCUCUCAUUCCUUUCAAUAAUAUUCCUUCCUUUGUCCAUCAUUACCGGAGUGUUUGGCAUGAAUGUGGGAGGAGUUCCAUGGACAGGGCAAAAUGCCCCGGAGUUAAGAGAUGGUUUUCGUAAUGUUAUGAUGCUUUGUUUGGCAAUGCUACUUUUGGUGCUGUUGUGCUUCUGUUUUCCUGCUCUUUAUUCCCGUGUAGCUGCCUGGCAACGGAUUAGGACUGUGGGCAGAAGCUGGUCUCUCAACAGGAAGUCAUUCCUCAAGAGAAGUGUACAAAAUGGAGCUGUUCAAGAUAGAGGAGGUUACCUUCGGAUUUGAAGGGAAAAAAUGUGUCUAUAAUCAUUGUGUGGCAGAGGCUGGUCAUAUAUAACCUAUACGGAGGAGAGACAUAAUGUGGAUAGUCCAUUUUCAAUAAAAUCAUCUAAUGUGUCCUGCAAAUUAGUUGCUAGUUGCAGGAUUGAAUCUACAUGGGGGACUUAGUUUCUUGCUUCUUCGGAUGGAAUGUUCUCUAAACUAGCAAUUUUUGUGAAUAAGAAGCAGCACAGUAUUUGCAAGGUUCUAUUGGACAUGUAGCUUGUUGUUAGAAGUUUCCACUCCUGUUUCCACUAACACUGUGUUUGGUGUGUUUGGAAAUUUGGAGAAAGAAGGAAGUAGAGGGUAUGAUGUGAAAGUGAAGUAAAGCAAAUGGGAGGAGAAUGGUUAUCUCUUCUCCUUAUUUAGACUUUUUAAUAAUAAGUAGGGAGAGAGAGGUUUCCACUCCUGUUUCCACUAA